rnacentral:rRNA from 1 species
AAGUAGUAUUAGAUAUGGUCUUGAAACUUAAAGAAUUUGGCGGUAUUUUAUCUUUUUAGAGGAACCUAGUUUUUAAUUGAUGCUCCACGAUUGCUUUACUUUUUUUAGAUUACUUGUAUACCGCUGUCAUGAGUGUAUAAAAAUGUUAUUUUCAUUUGAUGAUAUGAUAGGUCAAGGUGCAGUUUGGAAAGAGUGGGUUACCAUAAAAGAAUGAAAAGAAAAAGAAUUUAAAAGUAAAAAUAGAAAUUAUGAAGAAGAUUUUAAAAUAUG